UUAGAGUCUUAGAUAUUAGGAGUGCAAACUUUACCUCCUUACCUUCAUCAGUUCAUUUGCUGAAAAAUUUGACAACAUUAUGUCUGGAGAAUUGUGUCGUGGAGGAUGUUAGCAUCAUUUGGAAGCUAAAGAGACUGCAAGUCCUCAGCUUCAUGGGUUCUGAGAUUGAGCAUUUGCCAAAAGAGCUAGGAGAACUAACCAAUCUGGUACUAUUGGAUUUGAGCAAAUGCUCCAAGCUAAAAGUGAUAGAACCAGGGGUACUGGAAAGACUGACCAAACUGGAGGAUUUGUAUCUCGAAAAAAGUUUCAACCGGUGGGAGAGUGAAGAAGAUGCAACGCCACACAAUGCUAGCCUUGCUGAGUUGACCAACUUGCCUCGGCUAAGGACACUAUAUGUGCAUGCUGUCAAUCCCAUGUUGCUCCACCAGGACCUGCCGUUCGGAACAUUGGAAAUAUAUCGAAUCCUUGUUGGUGGUAAAUGGGAUUGGUCAGGCAGCUAUGAAGAGCUACGAACGAUGAAGCUUGAGGUGGUGAGAUCAGAUGUUCUGUCUCAACAAUGGCUUCAGCUUACGCUGCAGAAUGUUCAAGAUCUUCACCUGUAUGGCAUAUCGGAAGGUACUAGUCUGAGCAUUCACGAGCUGUGUGUAGAAGGUUUUAUGCAACUAAAGCACCUUCGUGUUGAAAGUAGCACUGCCAUCCAGUAUAUAGUCUCCUCAGCAAAGUGGUUAGCUCAUGAUGCUUUUGCAAUGUUGGAGUCCUUAUUGCUUCAGCACCUGGACAAUUUGGAGAAGAUCUGUCAUGGCCCUGUCACACCCACUUCUUUUGGUAAACUGAAAGUGAUAAAAGUCGAAAAGUGUGGGAAGUUGAGAAACAUUUUCUCUCUUUCCUUGGUGAAACGCCUUUCACAGCUCGAAGAGAUUGAAGUAAAUGAAUGCAUGAUGAUGCAAGAGGUUGUUUUAGAUGAGAGCAAAGAUGAUGAUGAUGAUCAAGUCGAGUUGCCAAGCCUACGUCAUUUGACAUUGAGAAACUUACCAGAGAUGACCACAUUCUUCACCAGAUCUCAACAUUCAUUGAGCAGCAUCUGCAUCCCAAGUGUUUUCUUGAACGGCCAACAGGUUAGGUUGCCUAAGUUGGAGAUUUUGAAAAUUGUUGAACUUCCCAGAUUGACAGAGUUAUUAUCACAAAUGGGGUUCAGAAACUUGAAGUCUCUGAUAGUCGAGAAAUGUCGACAACUCUCUAAAGUUAUAGACUCCAAUUUGUUGAUGGUGCUGCAGAGUUUGGAAUUAUUAAGAAUUGUCGAACGUGGGCAUGUUGGUAUCCUCCCUCAGCUGAGUAAGAUCAAGUUACGUGGUUUGUCGAAACUGAAUUGCAUCUGGAGCAAGUGUCCUCAAGGAGUAGCGGCGUUCCAAAACUUAGCGUCGUUGAAGGUGUCUUUCUGCUGGAAUUUGAGAUACUUGUUUACCCCAUCGAUAUAUAAAGCAAUGGUGAAGCUAACAGAAUUACAAUUGAUAUGGUGUGAGGGGAUGGAGGCAAUCGUAAUGGACGAAGAUCAUGGGAAUAUGGAAAGUGUGUUGUCAUGCAAUAUAAAAGAAUUCCCAUCGUUGAAGGUCUUGGGGAUAUCCUAUUGCCGCAAACUGAAGGAAUUCUAUUCGAUUAAAGGGGUCAGUCGUCGUAAUGGAGUCGCUGAAUUCAGCAACCCAACCUUCAGAUUCCCUUUGUGUUGUGGGGAGACAGAGAAAGAUCAUCACCAGGUGGCUGUCAAUUCAACGAAGACAGUCUUCUUCAAUCGAAUGGUUCUCCUCCCGAGGUUGAUGGAGAUGACGCUCCAGGCCGUAGGAGAUUUCGAGAAGAUAUGGGACAAUAAUGAACUCCCCGAAACUGAAACAUCAUCUAAUUUCGGCGAACUGGAGACCGUCAGAGUUGAUGGAUGCAAUAAGCUUCGUACAGUCUUUCCUUUAAUUUCAACAGAGAAGAGGUGGCAGAAUCUUAAAAAAGUUGAUAUACGUUUCUGUGAUUUUUUGGUAUCUGUAUUUGAAGUUGAUGGCAAUGGGCAGGAGUACUCAGAUAAGAAAGUGAAGUGCACAACAGCAAUAAUGCUCUUUGAAUUGCAAAAAUUGAAUUUGGCUGUGCUGCCGAAGCUAAAAUGCGUUGUCUUCGAUGAGAAGGUGUCCAAAACCAAAACUGUGGUGGGUUUUCCGAAUCUCACAGAACUCACUGUGUGGGAGUGCGAGUGUUUAACAGAUCUCAUCCCACUCACAACAGUCACAACUCUUCUGAAACUGGAGACACUGCGAAUACUCGGGCCUGUCGGCAUGCGGGAGGUUGUUUCCCAAGGGGACGGCGAAGCAGACCAGAUGGAUAAAAUCAUCAUUCCCCGUUUGCGGUCAUUGCGACUUUCUUCUCUUGAAAGCCUGGAGUGUUUCUUCUGUGGUAGUUCUCCUCUAUUUCUAUUUCCCUCCUUGAAAGAUCUAGUAAUAACUGGUUGUUAUAAGAUGAAGGGUUUCAUUUCUGAGCCUCCAAAUGGGAGACCUCAACUUCAAGAUGGUGAUGCUGCCUCCCAAAGACUUUUCAAUGAGAAGCUCUUUCUUCCAAAUUUGGAGGAAUUACAGAUUAGCGGCAUCAAAUUGAGAGCUCUAUGGAAGAAUCAACUUUUUCCGGGGGCCUUCUGCAAAUUAAAACUUCUUAAGGUGGAGGGAUGCACUAAGCUCCUCAGCAUUGUUCCAUCUUUUAUGCGGAAGAGGCUGCGAAACCUGGAGUACCUCAAAGUAGAUGAUUGCUCUUCAUCAGAGUGUAUAUAUGAGGGCUUGGAUGCUGGAGAUAGCAGCACAUCAGCCGGGAUGAACAGUCGGACAUACCCCGAAGAUGAAGAGUGUAUGGAGAAACUCCAAGAACUACAUGUAUUUAAUUGUCCGCAGAUACGAUAUCUAAUCGGGAGCAGAGAUGGAAAGUGCAGACAUGCAGCUCCCAGAAUCGUAGUACUUCCCAGGUUAACAACUCUUGAACUUGAGAAAUUGCCAGCACUUUGUAAGUUUUGGCAGGGGAGCUCAUACACUUUAGAGUUGCCAUCCUUGAAUAAGUUGUCUGUCAGAGAGUGUGGAGGUCUAGAGGAGGCCGUGAGUGAUGCUGUAGAUAUACUACAACAAGAUUUAGACGACCAAAUUGAUAUCACGAUUCAGCAAAAGAGACUGCCUUUCUGGGUUGAAAUAACGGCUGCAAUUCCCGACUUGCUAAUUCUGGAGUCUACGGAUUGGAACAAUGAGCUGAUAGAGCACAUAUUGAGUAUUCGUCAAUCUCAUCCUGAAGGUUUGCAUGGACUACGAAUUCUGGCGGUGGAAAGAUUUGUUGUCGGAUCUGCUAUAUAUGCAUCAAGUCUCCUCUUUAAACUGAGGAAACUUGAGGAGCUCGAACUUGUUGAUGCUUCGCUGGAAGUUCUAUUCCCAUGUGAAGUUGCUCCUUCAGCUCUUAUUAAUAAGGACAGCUCUGGGAAUGUUGUUGCCGCACCGCUAAGGAGAUUGAAGCUGGUCCGAUGUCCCGAGCUAUUCAAUAUUUGGAAGGGAGACAGAGUUACUUUCUCAAAACAUUUAGAAAUCCUUCAAGUGUGUGAAUGUGCCAAAUUGAUCAGUUUACUGCCACCCUCGACAACUUUUCAGAAUUUGACAUCUUUAAGGGUAUUAAAAUGCCAUCGGUUGAAAGCUCUCUUGACAGUUUCAACAGUGAAGAGUCUCCCGCAGCUUGCAGAAAUGAGUGUAGUAGAAUGCGAUGCCUUGACAGAAAUAGUGGCUUGUGGUGAAUCUGGCGAUAGUGGUGGACAAGAGGAGAUUGCUUUUAGUCGACUAGAAGUACUGAAGCUUGACUACUUGAUGAAUAUUAAGCACUUCUGUUCAGGAAGCCAUGCACUCAGACUCCCAUCGUUGACAGAGUUAACCAUGGUGGGAUGUCCCGUGAUAAAAAUCUUCUGUCAAGGUGAUAUAAGCACGCCGAAGUUACAGGACAUAGUACGUUGGAAUAGCGCCAGAGGAUCAGGAUACAGUUACAAACUGUACAGUGACCUUAACACAACUAUGAAAGAGUCGUUCUAUGAAAAGACACAACUCUCCUCGAUUCAUUCAUUAAAGAUCUCUGAGUCCAUCGAGUGGAAAGAGAUAUGGCUUUGCAGUGGUCUUCCUUCUGGGAGCAUCGAAUUCUUGAGAUCACUUACUAUAGAGGAUUGUGGGUUUUUGACGGUAGCAGCUGUUCCAACUGAUAAGUCUCUCCAAUUAAUUUGGCUUCAGAAAUUGGAGAUAAGAAACUGCGGUGCAGUAGAAGAAGUGUUUGAGCCUCUGAGGACAGAUGAUGCACAGGCACGUUUCUACUGGUUGGAGGAGCUUCACUUGAGAGAUCUUCCGAUGUUGAAGCUUAUCUUCCCCAAAGGUUUCCACAGAACUUGCAGCUUCAUGGAACUUCACAUUCUUCAAGUUCACAAUUGCAGCUGCCUGUUAAACAUACUGACGCCCAAUAUGGUGCGGUAUCUUGCAAGCCUUCUCAAAAUUGAAAUCAAGGACUGUACGAUGCUGGAGGAAAUCAUCAUUAAAGAGAAGGAAGAUGAGGAAAUUCUGGGAAGUAUAAUUAGGUUUUCUAAUGAAAAUUCUGGGUUACAAAAUUUAGUCCUUGACGGUUUGGCGGCAUUGAAGAGCUUCUACCCUGGUGAUUACCGUCUAGAAUUCCCAUACCUAGUAAAGAUGACCAUCAAGAACUGCCCCGAAAUGGUUAGAUUCGCACACCCAACUGCUUCAAUUAGAGAGGAUGAUGUAGCAAGCAGCACAAGGGACGUUAUUGAUCAGCAAAUUACCUCCCAGCCUGCAUUCUUCAGCGAGGUUUCCUUCCCCGACUUGAGAACACUCACGCUCUCUCAGAUGGAUAAAUUGUUUGCAAUAUGGCGGCAUGAUAAACUCUCUUGGAAGUCGUUUAGGGAAUUGAGGGAAAUCGAGGUGGAACGCUGCUGCUCCUUGAGAUAUGUGGUAACUCCCAUUCUGGUGCGAUAUCUUCCAGAGCUAGAAAGAAUUAAAAUUAAGGACAGUGAAAUGCUGGAAGCAAUUAUCGGCAAAGAGAACGAAGAGGAGGGAGGUGCAGAUUAUCUUAUCAAACUUCCCAAGUUAAACUAUAUACUUAUGGACUCCUUGCUGAAACUGUUGAGUUUCUAUCCGGGUGAUUCCCUUCUAGAAUGCCCAUCCUUGAAAGGCAUGAUAAUAAAAAACUGCCCUCAGAUGAGGGCAUUCACUUGUCCAGUGCUGAUGUAUGCUGAAGGAUGCAGAGAUCAACUCGGUGAAGGUGACAUCAAAAUUCCAACUCAGCCAUUUUUCAGUGAGAAGGUUUUUUUCCCUGAGUUAAAGCAACUCACGCUUUCUCGGUUGGACAAUUUGAGCACUAUAUGGCAUAAUGAAUUCUACGAGGACUCAUUUUGUCAGCUGGAGGAAAUCCUUGUCUUUCAGUGUGGAAUGCUACUGAAAGUGUUUCAACCCAUAACUGCCCAAAGAUUCAUGUGCCUGGAGACGCUAACUGUAGCUGAAUGUGAUUCACUAGAAGUAGUAUUCGAUCUCGUGGGGCUAGCUGCCAUGGUACAUAAUGAUGAUGAAAUUCAUGAAGACAAGGAACAAGGUGAAGCCUCAAGAGUUGCAUCAUUGGGAAAACUGGAGAUAUCACGACUGCCAAAGCUAAGGAGUUUGUGGAAUGUUGACAAAGAAGGGAUUGUAAGCUUUGAAAACCUGAAGGAGGCACAUGUGCGUGAAUGCCCGAAACUCGUAAAUCUUUUUCCAGCCUCUAUAGCCAGAGGUUUUACGAGACUUGAGAGCCUGAAUAUAGAAGAAUGUGGUUUAGAAUGGGUUGUUGCCAAAGGAGAAGAAGCAAUUGGAAGGUUCGUGUUCGAGGAGGCUGCCUUCUUGAAGCUUUGGAAGUUACCAAAGCUUGAGGGUUUCUAUCCCCGAGAACAUACUUCUGAAUGGCCUAUGCUAAAACAGUUGGUGGUGCAUGGCUGCAACAAAGUAGAAGCAUUUGCUUCAGGAUAUGGGAGCCUUCAUCAGACUAGUGCGGAAGGUCGUGAGGUCGCAGCCAAGCCACCGCUCUUCUUAGUUGACAAGGAUGCGUUCCCCAAUUUACUUAGCUUGAGCAUUGAAGCCGUGGAAGAAAUAUGGCCUCACCAGUUCAGCGGGGAAAUUUUUCCCAAGUUAAAGAAUUUGAAGAUAAACAACUCAAAGGAUUUGGCAGCCGAUCUCCCCGCUCGAUUCCUGCAUGGAUUACAGAAUUUGGGUAAACUUGUCCUGAGCAAAUGUCAUUUCAAAGAUAUUGAGUCGCAUGAAGGAUCUCCUGUCAAAGGUAUAACAGGGCAGCUCGUGAACCAAGUCCCAAAUAAUGGUGCUCUUCCACAUUUGGGAGUCCUUCAAGUAUCAGAGUGUUCAGGCUUAACAAACUUGGAUCAAUUGCCACUGUCGUUCCAAAGCUUGACAAUUCUGAAAGUAUCGGCUUGUAAUGAAUUGCUAUGUCUAAUGGCAUCCGCAACGGCAAAAAGCCUCAUCCGACUUACUCAUAUGACUAUAGAAAAUUGCAGAGUUAUGGAGGAGGUGGUUGCAAAUGAAGGUUAUGUGGUAGCAAAUGAUGAGAUUACUUUUGGGCAGUUACAGAAGUUGACUUUAAGCUCAUUAUCAGAGCUCGCCAGCUUCUCCAGAGGAAAUUUCAAUGUCAAAUUCCCGUCCCUUUGGCAAGUGUCUCUGAGUGAAUGCCCCAAAAUGGACCUUUUCUUCCAUGGAACCUUAAGCACGCCUAUGUUAGCUAUAGUUCAGAUAUCAGGGAAAGCCAUCUUUAUUCACGAUCACAACCUCAAUGCAGCAAUGCUGGAAAGAUCUCAAGCAACAUGCGGUCAACUUGAAAAACUGAGCGAGGUGGAGCAACAUCACGAGAAUUCUUGGGCAGGCACAUUAUCAGACAGUGAAUUGUCUUAUUUAAUAUAGAGUAAACCAGUCCCGACCGCGCCGCUUCAUUUCCCAUGGCUCCGCUUCAUAUACUGGAAUGCUGAAGGAAUUUACUAGAGAAAAUAGAUCCAGCGGAUUGGAUUCUCCUCCGCAUGUCCUUCUUCUUUCAUUAAAAACUUCUGCAGUAGUGAUUCCAUUAGUAUAGCGCAACGGAUUUUCGUGCUCAGAGGUUCAGAGGACGGCGAUGAAGCUGAUACUAUAUCAAGUCAUGACAAAGUCGAAUCAAGUAAUGAUCUCAUCUAUAAUCUGAUGAAGGCUGUGGAGGAUGGUAGACCUGAAAGGAUUCAUCAGCUUUCUGGACCAAAAGCCAGCAGAAGGCGCAGCAAACGUUGCCCGAAUCAUCAAAGAUGUUGACGAGGCAUAUGGGUCUUGAUACAUGAUAACACCGGAGAGGCAAGUCAAUAAUUGUUAGGUCAGUAGCUUUGUCAGGCAAUCAAUCACUGUAAUAAUCAUUUCAGGGAUGCGAACCUUCAGACGGAAGAACAGGUUCCUUCUUCAUUUAAGCUAAAUAUACAUGACUCAUUUAAAUGGCAGACCAAACAUUGGACCCUU